rnacentral:rRNA from 1 species
UACGGGGGGGGCAAGCGUUGUUCGGAAUUACUGGGCGUAAAGGGCGCGUAGGCGGCGCAACAAGUCACUUGUGAAAUCUCCGGGCUUAACUCGGAAAGGUCAAGUGAUACUGUUGUGCUAGAGUGCGGAAGGGGCAACUGGAAUUCUCGGUGUAGCGGUGAAAUGCGUAGAUAUCGAGAGGAACACCUGCGGCGAAGGCGGGUUGCUGGGCCGACACUGACGCUGAUGCGCGAAAGCCAGGGGAGCGAACGGG